rnacentral:rRNA from 1 species
UACGUAGGGGGCAAGCGUUGUCCGGAAUCAUUGGGCGUAAAGCGCGUGUAGGCGGUUCGGUAAGUCUGCUGUGAAAGUCCAGGGCUCAACCCUGGGAAUGCCGGUGGAUACUGUCGGACUAGAGUACGGAAGAGGCGAGUGGAAUUCCCGGUGUAGCGGUGAAAUGCGCAGAGAUCCGGAGGAACACCGACGGCGAAGGCAGCGCCCUG